CCUACGGGUGGCAGCAGUGAGGAAUAUUGGUCAAUGGACGAGAGUCUGAACCAGCCAAGUAGCGUGAGGGAUGACUGCCCUAUGUGUUGUACACUUCUUUUAUCUGGGAAUAAAAUGUUCCACGUGUGGGCUUUUGUAUGUACCAUAUGAAUAAGGAUCGGCUAACUCCGUGCCCGCAGCCGCUGUAAUACGGCGGAUCCGAGCGUUAUCCGGAUUUAUUGGGUUUAAAGGGAGCGUAGGUGGAUCGUUAAGUCAGUUGUGAAAGGUUGGGGCUCAACCGUAAAAUUGCAGUUGAAACUGGCAGUCGUGAGUACAGUAGAGGUGGGCGGAAUGCGUGGUGUAGCGGUGAAAUGCUUAGAUAUCACGAAGAACUCCGAUUGCGAAGGCAGCUCACUGGACUGCAACUGACACUGAGGCUCGAAAGUGUGGGUAUCAAACAGGAUUAGAUACCCGUGUAGUC
rnacentral:rRNA from 1 species